AAGCACACAUAUCAUACGUGUGUGCUUAUCAAGAAGAGACCAACUGUCACAUGACAGCAGGGUGUACCAAGUGCAAUAUUAAAACAAAAGCCAUGAGUCUUUUAAGCCCAGUGUGUAAAGAUACACUCUGAGUUAUAUCUUGAAGGAACAACU